CACGUAUAAGCCUCCAAUAUUUCCAUCCCCUGUUUCGGUUCUGAUGCGUGAAAAUUAUUUUUGAACCUCAUAAAAGAGAUGGGAUGACACAAUAAGUUAAUAUGUACAGUACUCAGAGGUGAGCCUGGUUCAGAGAGAGCGCCAUGUGAAGUUGACAGCACCUUCAUCAGCACCAAAAUCACUUUUACCACCAUCAUCACCAUCACCAACACCCUUUCUGUCAUCAUCAUCACCACCAUCUGCAUCUCCCUCACCCGGCACUCUCCACACGUGUACCACAAUUCAACGGAUUUGGGGCAAGGGAGGCCACACUGUGCAUCGUGGGGACUCAGC
rnacentral:lncRNA from 1 species